UCUCCUACGGGAGGCAGCAGUGGGGAAUAUUGCACAAUGGGCGCAAGCCUGAUGCAGCCAUGCCGCGUGUAUGAAGAAGGCCUUCGGGUUGUAAAGUACUUUCAGCGAGGAGGAAGGUGUUGUGGUUAAUAACCACAGCAAUUGACGUUACUCGCAGAAGAAGCACCGGCUAACUCCGUGCCAGCAGCCGCGGUAAUACGGAGGGUGCAAGCGUUAAUCGGAAUUACUGGGCGUAAAGCGCACGCAGGCGUUUUGUUAAGUCAGAUGUGAAAUANNCCGGGCUCAACCCUGGGAACUGCAUUGAAACUGGCAAGCUUGAGUCUCGAGAG
rnacentral:rRNA from 1 species